GAUGAAGAACGUAGUGAAAUGCGAUAAGUAAUGUGAAUUGCAGAAUUCAGUGAAUCAUCGAAUCUUUGAACGCACAUUGCGCCCGCCAGUAUUCUGGCGGGCAUGCCUGUUCGAGCGUCAUUACAACCCUCAGGCCCCCGGGCCUGGCGUUGGGGAUCGGCGGAAGCCCCCUGCGGGCACAACGCCGUCCCCCAAAUACAGUGGCGGUCCCGCCGCAGCUUCCAUUGCGUAGUAGCUAACACCUCGCAACUGGAGAGCGGCGCGGCCACGCCGUAAAACACCCAACUUCUGAAUGUUGACCUCGGAUCAGGUAGGAAUACCCGCUGAACUUAAGCAUAUCAAUAAGCGGAGGA
rnacentral:misc_RNA from 1 species